rnacentral:rRNA from 1 species
AGAGUUUGAUCAUGGCUCAGAUUGAACGCUGGCGGCAGGCUUAACACAUGCAAGUCGAGCGGAGAUGAGGUGCUUGCACCUUAUCUUAGCGGCGGACGGGUGAGUAAUGCUUAGGAAUCUGCCUAUUAGUGGGGGACAACAUUCCGAAAGGAAUGCUAAUACCGCAUACGUCCUACGGGAGAAAGCAGGGGAUCUUCGGACCUUGCGCUAAUAGAUGAGCCUAAGUCGGAUUAGCUAGUUGGUGGGGUAAAGGCCUACCAAGGCGACGAUCUGUAGCGGGUCUGAGAGGAUGAUCCGCCACACUGGGACUGAGACACGGCCCAGACUCCUACGGGAGGCAGCAGUGGGGAAUAUUGGACAAUGGGGGGAACCCUGAUCCAGCCAUGCCGCGUGUGUGAAGAAGGCCUUAUGGUUGUAAAGCACUUUAAGCGAGGAGGAGGCUACUGAGACUAAUACUCUUGGAUAGUGGACGUUACUCGCAGAAUAAGCACCGGCUAACUCUGUGCCAGCAGCCGCGGUAAUACAGAGGGUGCGAGCGUUAAUCGGAUUUACUGGGCGUAAAGCGUGCGUAGGCGGCUUUUUAAGUCGGAUGUGAAAUCCCCGAGCUUAACUUGGGAAUUGCAUUCGAUACUGGGAAGCUAGAGUAUGGGAGAGGAUGGUAGAAUUCCAGGUGUAGCGGUGAAAUGCGUAGAGAUCUGGAGGAAUACCGAUGGCGAAGGCAGCCAUCUGGCCUAAUACUGACGCUGAGGUACGAAAGCAUGGGGAGCAAACAGGAUUAGAUACCCUGGUAGUCCAUGCCGUAAACGAUGUCUACUAGCCGUUGGGGCC